GAUGCCAGAUGAACAAAAAUGGCUCGGUGUCGCUCAUGUUGUCAUUUCUGUGGCCUGCAGAGCCCUUAUAUGUCAAUGGGUUCGUCAAUGGACUCCAGAUACCCCGCCGCACUCAUGAUCGUUCAUCACCAUGAUCCACUAGUUAUGAGAAGCUGUAGUUUUACAAGGAGUCAAUAACCAUGCUCACUCCCCCACACCCUGGCCCGCAGAUUGAUCCUCCGUCCCCAACUUUCCGUCUGCAGGGCCCACAUAGAAUGCUCAUCGAUAAUAAUUACCACAAGAAAAUAUCCUAGACCAAGAAUUACUUGCCCCACACCUAUUCGGGGCUUUGCCGCUCCAGCUGUUAGUCGUCUGCCCGCUUUUCGUUCAUCCAGCCUAUUAAGCUCCGGCUCCUGCACAAUCGUUCGAAGGCUCAUUCGGGAAAGGGCCAGAACCCCCGGAAUGGCGGACCAAAAUCGGAGCUUAGGGAUAGAACAAUUUGCUUGACUGACUCUCGCCAAACUUCCGAAGCUGACAUCGAACCUCGGCCCUCGCUCAUUAACUGUGAUCUCCAGGCUCCAUCUGUACCUAUUUACGUAGCUACUGCCGGCGGCUUGGCCUCCAAAGGUCAGCCUCUAGGUGCCACUGGGGCUCGCCCAAUGCACAGAACUAGUCUGGCAACUCAGAGGUUGGGCGAAUAAUCGACUCGCACCGUACACGACUGUGGCUCUGCAGCAUAACCUAGGACUGGGCGGUACUGCUGUUGCUUCUGUGUAUAAACGUGCGGACGAGUUGGCGAAUGGUCCGUUGACGAAUAGCGAGAUUGUCGGGUUUUCAGGGGUGGGUUCUAACCCUGCCACAGAAGUCAGGCAGGUCACCAUUGAACAUAUUUUAAGCAAGAAGCAUAAUAACCAAUGGGCUCUUGUGGGUGGCCGUGGUGGAGACUUGGAAUCCCCUUUUCUUGCUAGAAUUUGAAAAGAUAUACCUUUUUUUCGUCUACUGAUAGUAAGCAUGUUUUUUUCUGCACAUGCUACUCUUUAGAUCUGAUUUGUCCCCUUACUCCUUAGCACACCAUUUGCUUUGGUAUAAACUAUAUAUAGGAAUUUGGAUUUUGUUUCGUAUUGAUUUCUCU
rnacentral:sRNA from 1 species